AUGAAGCUGUUCCUGGGAGUUAUUUUGGUGAUUUUGUGGCUUCCAGUGGACUGGGUAAGCAGCCAAAAGUUGGAACAGAAUCCGCAGUCCCUGAGCAUCCAGGAGGGUGAGAAGGCUGUGCUGACCUGUGACUAUACGAAUUACUCUCCAGAGGUCUUCCAGUGGUACCGACAAGAUCUGGGAAGAAGCUUUGUCUUCUUGCUACUAAUACGUGAAAAUGAGGGUGAAAAACAGACAGGAAGACUGAGGGCCACCUUUGACAAGACCAUCAAACAGAGUUCCUUAUAUAUCACAAAAUCCCAGCCUGCAGACUCAGCCACCUACGUCUGUGCUGCUGACACACAGCAGGACCCUGCUACCUGCUUCCUGCGCCCAAACUCUGCUAGCAACCCAGUCAACAGAGCUGCGGGCUGUGCUGACCUCGAGGGCUUGCCCCGGCUCCAGGCAUGA